AUGGGCAGAAGCAAAAAUCCAUUUAUCAGUGAUCAAGAAUGUGUUGUGGUAGUGAAGUAUAUUGUGGUCAUUUGUGUUGUGGUAGAGACACUUUCUUUUAUUAGGUUCAAGACGUACGGGCAGAAGCACGAAUCACAGAUACAUAAACUUAUGAUUAUUUGCGUUGUGGUAGAGACACUUUCUUUUAAUAGGGUCAUUCACAAUAUUUCUAUGUUUUGUAGUGAAGUAUAUUAUGCCAAUGAGAUAUUGUAUGCAUACCUUCCUUUUGAGAUGUUUUUAAGAGGGAAAGUUAUUACUAACCUACUCCUUGAAUUAAAUUAA
rnacentral:rRNA from 1 species